GGCUCCAAGCCCUGAUCCAAGGCUGCUUCUCUGCAUGUGUUUCUGCAUGGCAGUGCACCCAGGGAUUUGCUUGAUUCAAAAUCCCUGUAGCCAAGACCCUUUCCUUCUUCCACUGCAGCUCCAGGAACAGCCUUCCACUGUCUCUGCCGCCUGCACCAGGCAGAGCAGUGCUGGCGAGUCUGUGGCCGGCUGGCGCAGCUGUGAUUCCUGCAGGAAUGCCCUUGGGAGCAGUGGGCAUUGCUGAGCCCACUGGGACCAGCGGUGUGUGCCCUGGGGGCCAGGCUGAGCACCAGGAACUCAUUGCACUGACGAGUGGCGUAGGAGCUGGAGGAGGAGCUGGGAGCAGGGACACGGGGCUCCAGUUGCUGGUCCAGCCGCUCCCGGCUUCCUGCCCCCGCGGUCCCCGCGGUGCUGCUCCAUCUGCUCCUGCCUGCUGCCAGCUCCACGCCAGCCAGCCCCGAGCGCCGCCGAUGUGGCCGCUGAUGCACGCCGGAGCAACGGGCAGGCUCCACAUCGCCCAUAGGUUCAAUCACCCGAACGAUGCAAGACUUCAUCCCUGUGCAAUGCAGAGUCCCGGCAUGGAGGAGUAUGCUGCCCUUAGGGCAUCCCCUACAGUGCCACCCCCUGUCCGUGCAGCUGUGGCCCUGGGUGACACCUGCAUGGAUUGAGGUCACCUGUCCGGGGCUCUGGGCUUUGCAGUGGCCACAGGUCUGAAAUCAGGGAACAAACCGGUUGGACCGUGUCACCUAAGCCCCAUGGCAGGGGACAGUGGGACCAUCUGCUCCCCGUGUGAAGCUGCUAUUCCAGGCUGGAAGGUGCUUAGGGAUCCAGCUGGACCAAGGGCACAUUUCCACGCGCCGGAGAUGACAGCGCCAUGUCAUGUGCUCAGGGCAGUGGGGCUCUGGACAGUGCCUUUCCCUCCUGCUCCUCCUCCUCCUGCUCCUUCUGUUCCUCCUCCUCCUCCUCGUCCUCCUCCUCCUCGAGCCAGUGGCAGCCUGUGGCAGAGGAGAAGAUCCCCUUGAGGACGGCAGCCAUGCUGGCUGCUCAGGGCUGUCACCUGCCCGGAGCACGGGGCUGUGCUGCUGCUUUGGGCUGUGACACCCUGGGUUCCCAGUCUGCGCCACUCAGGCAGGGGAGGCAACCCCAGCCCCAUAGGAACUGAGAAGGGGUGGGUGGCAGGGCUGGGGGGCUGCCCCUGGCCUUGUGAACACCACCCACAGGUGUGGCAGUCCCUCAGAUGGAGGGGACCCCCUUGGCACAGCCAUGUGGGCAGCAGGACUCAGCAGGUUGGGAUGGAACUGUCUCCUAGCCCUGCGUGGAGGACAGAGGUGUUGGGCCCCUGCCAUGGCUCUGUGGGUCUAGGCUUGUCCCUGGCUGAGCUGCUGGGGCCCCUGUUGUGCUGCGGGAACACGUGAGUAGCCAGAGGGAUUCCACACGCCUGGCUCCUGCAAUCCUACAAGGAAAAGGCUAGCCUGGUGCUUGUCCCUAGGUAGGAGCAGCUCCUUCCCCUUUGUCCAGGCUGCCCCAUUGUGACUUGCUGUCAAAGCCAGUCAAGGCAGCUGCCAAGCUGCCAAGCUGGGCCAGUGUGGAGGCAAAUCCCCCUUUCUGUGGGGCCUUUGCCUCCUCGGUGCUGAGUCCUCCCCCAGACCUCACAGGGAGCAGAGCCACAAUGUUCACUGUGUCCCUGUGACUCAGUUUCCCCACCUGCCCCUGACAGUGUGUACCUGGCCAAAGUGUAUGCAGGUGACAGACUUAGUUCUGCUGAGCCCCAUCCAAAGGGGAAACUGAGGCUCAGAGGAACAACAUGUCCAAAGGUCACCUUGGAGGUCUGUUGUGACUCUGGACACUUGGUGACACCCAAAGCAGGGCAGAUCUCAUACUGGGAGGGACGCUGGGGGGUCACACCUGUCCUACACAGCUGCAAAGCUGGGGGGGGGGGGGGCUCCCAGCCUUCCCCAAAGAUUGAUUCAUUGAGGCCACGCUGAGAGCUCGCUGUGAGAUUUGACAUUAACCUGGCACAGGAUAUUGGAUCCCCUGAUCCAGCCCUGUCGUGGCCCUUGGGGCAGCUCAGAGCAGGAAGGGGCCACCCAACACAGGAGCCCCUCACGCCUUCCCUGGGGAUGCUGACCCUGGUGGGGCUGGGCAUGAUGGCAGGGGCCAGUCCCCAAACCUGCUGGGUUUGGGGGUCCCCUGACCCAGCCCUCAUGUCACACCAGCAACUGGGACUUGUGGAGGCACAGCAAUGAGGUCAGGGACAGGGGAGACUGCUGGGCACCACAGGGACAGAAGUAGAGGAGCACAGCUCUGACUGGGCCAGCACGGAGCCAUUUUGAAGCAUUAGCAAGACCUUUCUGGGCAUAUGCAAAACACUGCCAGGAGGGCCAGAGGUUGACCAGGAGAAAACUAUGGGCAGGAGCAGGUGGGCAGUGAGGGGAGGCCUCCAGAAUUAGGGUUUUCUCCAGGAUACCUGUGGCAG
ensembl:lncRNA